UACGAAAGGGGCUAGCGUUGUUCGGAAUUACUGGGCGUAAAGCGCACGUAGGCGGCCUUGUAAGUUGGGGGUGAAAUCCCAGGGCUCAACCCGGGAACUGCCUUCAUGACUGCAAAGCUAGAGGAUGCGAGAGGUUAGCGGAAUUCCGAGUGUAGAGGUGAAAUUCGUAGAUAUUCGGAAGAACACUAGUGGCGAAGGCGGCUAACUGGCGCAUUUCUGACGCUGAGGUGCGAAAGCGUGGGGAGCAAACAGG
rnacentral:rRNA from 1 species